rnacentral:tRNA from 1 species
GUUGGUGGCCGAAUGGUAAAAGGUACCACAUUUUCGCUCUAGAGGAUGUGAGUUCGAAGCUCACCACCAACG